AACGAACGCUGGCGGCAUGCCUAACACAUGCAAGUCGAACGAGACCUUCGGGUCUAGUGGCGCACGGGUGCGGAACGCGGGGGAACCGGCCCUUAGGUUCGGAAUAACUCCCCGUAAGGGGUGCUAAUACCGGAAAAUGUCUUCGGACCAAAGAUUUAUCGCCUUUGGAUGGGCCGGCGUUGGAUUCGCUAGGUGGUAGGGUAAAAGCCUACCAAGGCGACGAGCCAUAGCUGGUCUGAGAGGCUGAUCAGCCACACUGGGACUGAGACACGGCCCAGACUCCUACGGGAGGCAGCAGUGGGGAAUAUUGGACUAUGGGCGAAAGCCUGAUCCAGCAAUGCCGCGUGAGUGAUGAAGGCCUUAGGGUUGUAAAGCUCUUUUACCCGGGACGAUAAUGACAGUACCGGGAGAAUAAGCUCCGGCUAACUCCGUG
rnacentral:rRNA from 1 species